rnacentral:rRNA from 1 species
GGCUAAGGUAGCAUAAUAAUUUGCCUCUUAAUUAGAGGCUGGAAUGAAGGAACAUACGAGAGUAAAACUGUUUCAUUUUUACCUAAUGAGAACUAACCUCUAGAUGAAGAGAUCUAGAUAACUAAGAAAGACAAAACGGCCCUAUUGAGCUUUACCCUACCAGAAUUCCCCCAGAGGGAAUCUAUUUAAUAAUUUCUGAGCGGGUUUGGUUGGGGCGACGGGAGAAGAACUAAAUCUUCUUUAUUUAAUGAGGUAAUAAACCUAAUAAUGAUCCGGAGCCCCCGAUUAAGGGAUUCAGCUACCAUAGGGAUAACAGGCUAAUUCUUUCCGAGAGCCCAUAUUGACGAAAGAGAUUG